rnacentral:rRNA from 1 species
CAAGAUACCUGGAAUGGUUUUUGAUUAAAAUCUAUAUGGCCUUUGGAUUGGACUGCGACCGAUCAGGCUGUUGGUGAGGUAAUGGCCCACCAAGCCUGUAACCGGUACGGGCUCUGAGAGGAGGAGCCCGGAGAUGGGUACUGAGACAAGGACCCAGGCCCUAUGGGGCGCAGCAGGCGCGAAACCUCUGCAAUGGGCGAAAGCCUGACAGGGUUAUUCUGAGUGACUUUCGCUAAGAAAGUCUUUUGACACCUCUAAAAAUGGUGUAGAAUAAGGGGUGGGCAAGUCUGGUGUCAGCCGCCGCGGUAAUACCAGCACCCCGAGUGGUCGGGACGAUUAUUGGGCCUAAAGCAUCCGUAGCCGGUUUUACAAGUCCUCCGUUAAAUCCAACUGCUUAACAGAUGGGCCGCGGAGGAUACUAUAAGACUAGGAGGCAGGAGAGGCAAGCGGUACUCAGUGGGUAGGGGUAAAAUCCGUUGA